UACGAAGGGGGCUAGCGUUGCUCGGAAUUACUGGGCGUAAAGGGCGCGUAGGCGGCGCUGUUAGUCAGGCGUGAAAUUCCUGGGCUCAACCUGGGGACUGCGCUUGAUACGGCAGUGCUUGAGGAUGGAAGAGGCUCGCGGAAUUCCCAGUGUAGAGGUGAAAUUCGUAGAUAUUGGGAAGAACACCGGUGGCGAAGGCGGGUCAGCUGGGCCAUUACUGACGCUGAGGCGCGAACAUGGUGGGAACAAGAUGAUAACUAGU
rnacentral:rRNA from 1 species